GGGCAUUCCCUCUGAGCGAGCAGAGAAGUAUUAUUUGCGUGAAUCUGAUAUCAAAUAAGACUUUUUUGGUUCGCUAUGAGGUAUUGUUC
rfam:Drosophila virilis strain TSC#15010-1051.87 Ctg01_16827, whole genome shotgun sequence.